rnacentral:rRNA from 1 species
GGUGAAGGUGGCGGACGGGUGAGUAACGCGUAAAGAACUUGCCUUACAGACUGGGACAACAUUUGGAAACGAAUGCUAAUACCGGAUAUUAUGAUUGGGUCGCAUGAUCUGAUUAUGAAAGCUAUAUGCGCUGUGAGAGAGCUUUGCGUCCCAUUAGUUAGUUGGUGAGGUAACGGCUCACCAAGACGAUGAUGGGUAGCCGGCCUGAGAGGGUGAACGGCCACAAGGGGACUGAGACGCGGCCCUUACUCCUACGGGAGGCAGCAGUGGGGAAUAUUGGACAAUGGACCAAAAGUCUGAUCCAGCAAUUCUGUGUGCACGAAGAAGUUUUUCGGAAUGUAAAGUGCUUUCAGUUGGGAAGAAGUCAGUGACGGUACCAACAGAAGAAGCGACGGCUAAAUACGUGCCAGCAGCCGCGGUAAUACGUAUGUCGCAAGCGUUAUCCGGAUUUAUUGGGCGUAAAGCGCGUCUAGGCGGCUUAGUAAGUCUGAUGUGAAAAUGCGGGGCUCAACCCCGUAUUGCGUUGGAAACUGCUAAACUAGAGUACUGGAGAGGUAGGCGGAACUACAAGUGUAGAGGUGAAAUUCGUAGAUAUUUGUAGGAAUGCCGAUGGGGAAGCCAG